CAAUAUAAUCGAUAAAAAUUUAAUUACGCGGAAUGUGGUACAUAUGCUUAGUACAGUUUAGUAUGGUAGCUUAGUAUGGUACCAUACUUAGUAUAGUUUAUUAACUGUAUACCCUCUAUGUUGAUUUACAUUGUUCUUUUGUCGGUGCUGACGAUUCCUCUUUAUCUGACUGUAAUACAGUAUCUCCUGUUAUAAAACAUAAACAUCUUGCUUCAACCACUGUCAGUAAGUAGGUAUGUAAAUAAAAUAUUCCAACGAUGCCUUUGGUUCAACAGAAGAAAAUUACAAAAGCCACUGAAAAGAGAUUAAAGUAAUAUGAGGCACUGUUAAACAAAAUAAUCAAAGGUUCAAUAAAAAAUGAGCAGUCUGUAAAAUGAAUCUAUUCGCUCUGAUAAAGAGCAAAGAAGAGAAUUAAAACUUAUAAAGAAAACAGAAAUAUAACAAACAGUACUAAUGUAACGCUGGAAGAAGGUUUGUGACAUAUUUGAUAAUAUUUAAUGUAUUCUGAUUUAUGUCACUGUUAUUUAAGAAGAAUAUCUACAACAAAAGAAAUGAUACAUAUUUUUCUGUAUUUCUCCUUUAUUUAUCAUACUGUUCUAUACUUUAUUCUCAUCUUUUCAUACUCUUAAUACAUAUCGCUCAUUACAACUUUCAAUAUCUGUGCAUAACAUUGCUUCUAUGAUAUAAGGAGAUUAGAACUCACAGUUUGAUCAGUAAUUAUGCUUUUUUGCUCUUUAAUCGAUGUAUCUGUUCAGGAACUGCAAUAAGUGAGUUAUUGUUAAUACAUUGUUACGUUUUCCCAUUGACUCAAAUGGUUCUUGAGUUACCAUACCUUUUUUCUUCUUCCCAGUAGAUCGCAUUCUACUCCAUCUCACAUGAAGGGACAUAGGAAGUGUUGGUCUCUCUACACAACCAGAGUAGUCUUUUACUGUAAUAAAAUCCACUUGUUUAAAUAAUUCGAACUUACCAAAAG